rnacentral:rRNA from 1 species
UAAUACGGAGGUGGCAAGCGUUACUCGGAAUCAUUGGGUGUAAAGGGCAAGUAGGCGGUUUGACAAGUGAGGGGUGAAAUCUUCCGACUUAAUCGGAAAACUGCCUUUCAAACUGUCAGACUUGAGGCAUGCAGGGGGAAAUGGAAUUCUCGGUGUAAGGGUGAAAUCUGUAGAUAUCGAGAAGAACACCGGCGGCGAAGGCGAUUUCCUGGGCAUGUCCUGACGCUAAAUUGCGAAAGCUAGGGUAGCAAACAGAAUUAGAUACUCUGGUAGUCCUAGCUGUAAACGAUGAGCACUAGGUGUUGGGUUGUUAAGACUCAGUGCCGCAGCUAACGCAUUAAGUGCUCCACCUGGGGACUACGGUCGCAAGGCUA